CCAAGAGGAAAGCGCGCCAGCGAAAACCAAAAAGAGUUUUUAAUAAAUUAUCUAGGCAAUGUAGACAUUGCAAACGAUAAAUUUGUGACGGCAGAUGGUGCCAAAUUUCGCGAAGAAAAGUGGAAAGAACUAGCGGUGAGCCUUAAUGCUCUUGGCGGCACUCAAAAGGAUGGUGCAAAAUGGAAGAAGUAAUGGAGCGAUUUAAAACUUCAUACUCGCACAAAAUAUAGUGCAAUAAGGCAGGCAGAGCAGAGAAGUGGUAUAAACGGUUUGAGCCGGGCCAAAGCACUGUCACCGCUGGAAGAGCGCAUAAUUAAGAUUACAACUGUGCAGGCAGUCGAUGGUGAUGAAACGGGCG